UCCAGUGUGGUGUAGUGGUUUGAGCAUUACACUACAACUCUGGAUAUCAGGGUUCAAUGCCCUGCUCUAGCA
rnacentral:tRNA from 1 species